GCCCUUAGAGUUUGAUCCUGGCUCAGGAUGAACGCUGGCGGCGUGCCUAACACAUGCAAGUCGAGCGAUUCUCUUCAGAGAAGAGCGGCGGACGGGUGAGUAACGCGUGGGUAACCUGCCCUGUACACACGGAUAACAUACCGAAAGGUAUGCUAAUACGAGAUAAUAUGCUUUUAUCGCAUGGUAGAAGUAUCAAAGCUUUUGCGGUACAGGAUGGACCCGCGUCUGAUUAGCUAGUUGGUAAGGUAACGGCUUACCAAGGCGACGAUCAGUAGCCGACCUGAGAGGGUGAUCGGCCACAUUGGAACUGAGACACGGUCCAAACUCCUACGGGAGGCAGCAGUGGGGAAUAUUGCACAAUGGGCGAAAGCCUGAUGCAGCAACGCCGCGUGAGCGAUGAAGGCCUUCGGGUCGUAAAGCUCUGUCCUCAAGGAAGAUAAUGACGGUACUUGAGGAGGAAGCCCCGGCUAACUACGUGCCAGCAGCCGCGGUAAUACGUAGGGGGCUAGCGUUAUCCGGAAUUACUGGGCGUAAAGGGUGCGUAGGUGGUUUCUUAAGUCAGAGGUGAAAGGCUACGGCUCAACCGUAGUAAGCCUUUGAAACUGGGAAACUUGAGUGCAGGAGAGGAGAGUGGAAUUCCUAGUGUAGCGGUGAAAUGCGUAGAUAUUAGGAGGAACACCAGUUGCGAAGGCGGCUCUCUGGACUGUAACUGACACUGAGGCACGAAAGCGUGGGGAGCAAACAGGAUUAGAUACCCUGGUAGUCCACGCCGUAAACGAUGAGUACUAGCUGUCGGAGGUUACCCCCUUCGGUGGCGCAGCUAACGCAUUAAGUACUCCGCCUGGGAAGUACGCUCGCAAGAGUGAAACUCAAAGGAAUUGACG
rnacentral:rRNA from 1 species